rnacentral:rRNA from 1 species
UACGUAGGGGCUAGCGUUAUCCGGAAUUACUGGGCGUAAAGGGUGCGUAGGCGGUCUUUCAAGCCAGAAGUGAAAGGCUACGGCUCAACCGUAGUAAGCUUUUGGAACUGUAAGACUUGAGUGCAGGAGAGGAGAGUGGAAUUCCUAGUGUAGCGGUGAAAUGCGUAGAUAUUAGGAAGAAUACCAGUGGCGAAGGCGACUUUCUGGACUGUAACUGACACUGAGGUCACGAAAGCGUGGGGAGCAAACAGGAUUAGAUACCCGUGUAGUCCCUGAG